GUGUCAGCCUCCUCUUUACCACGUAGGUCCCGAGCGUUGUCCGGAUUUACUGGGCGUAAAGGGCUCGUAGGUGGUUUCUUAGGUCUCACGUGAAAUUCCCUGGCUCAACCAGGGAGGGUCGUGGGAAACCGAGAGGCUAGAGGGCAGGAGAGGAGAGUGGAAUUCCCGGUGUAGCGGUGAAAUGCGUAGAGAUCGGGAGGAACACCAGUGGUGAAGACGGCUCUCUGGACUGUCCCUGACACUGAGGAGCGAAAGCCAGGGGAGCAAACCGGAUUAGAUACCCGGGUAGUCCUGGCCGUAAACGAUGGGUACUAGGUGUGGGGGGUUCGACCCCCUCCGUGCCGCAGUUAAUGCAUUAAGUACCCCGCCUGGGGAGUACGGCCGCAAGGUUGAAACUUAAAUGAAUUGGCGG
rnacentral:rRNA from 1 species